rnacentral:rRNA from 1 species
AACGAACGCUGGCGGCAUGCCUAACACAUGCAAGUCGAACGAGACCUUCGGGUCUAGUGGCGCACGGGUGCGUAACGCGUGGGAACCUGCCCUUAGGUUCGGAAUAACUCCCCGAAAGGGGUUCUAAUACCGGAUAAUGUCUUCGGACCAAAGAUUUAUCGCCUUUGGAUGGGCCCGCGUUGGAUUAGCUAGUUGGUAGGGUAAAAGCCUACCAAGGCGACGAUCCAUAGCUGGUCUGAGAGGAUGAUCAGCCACACUGGGACUGAGACACGGCCCAGACUCCUACGGGAGGAAGCAGUGGGGAAGAUUGGACAAUGGGCGAAAGCCUGAUCCAGCAAUGCCGCGUGAGUGAUGAAGGACUUAGGGUUGUAAAGCUCUUUUACCCGGGAUGAUAAUGACAGUACCGGGAGAAUAAGCUCCGGCUAACUCCGUG